rnacentral:rRNA from 1 species
GGAGAGGAGCUCGCGUCCGAUUAGCUAGUUGGUGAGGUAAGAGCUUACCAAGGCAACGAUCGGUAGCUGGUCUGAGAGGACGAUCAGCCACACUGGGACUGAGACACAGCCCAAACUCCUACGGGAGGCAGCAGUGGGGAAUUUUCCGCAAUGGACGAAAGCCUGACGGAGCAAGAGCGCGUGCGGGAGGAAGGGCCUUGGGUCGUAAACCGUUUUUCUUAGGGAAGAAGCUCUGACGGUACCUAAGGAAUCAGCCUCGGCUUAACUCCGUGCCAGCAGCCGCGGUAAUACGGAGGCGGCAAGCGUUAUCCGGAAUUAUUGAGCGUAAAGCGUCCGAAGGCGGCUUACCAAGUCUGCUGUCAAAUACCAGAGCUCAACUCUGGGUCGGCGAUGGAAACUGGCAAAGCUAGAAUACAGUAGGGGUAGAGGGAAUUCCCAAGUGUAGCGGUGAACUGCGUAGAGAUUGGUAAGAACACCGGAGGCGAAAACGCUCUACUGAGCUGUAACUGACGCUGAGGGACGAAAGCUAGGGUAGCGAAAGGGAUUAGAUACCCCUGUAGUCUUAAGCUUGUAAAACGAUGGAGACUAGGCAUGGCUUGUAUCGACCCGGAGCCGUGGCCGAAGCCAACGCGUUAAGUCUCCCGCCUGGGGAGUACGCACGCAAGUGUGAAACUCAAAGGAAUUGACCGGGGGCCCGCACAAGCGGUGGAGUAUGUGG